CCGUUUGUACGCCUGCGGUGGUCUCUGAUCUCAGUUCCGCGAAAAUGGCGGUGGAAAUUUCGGGCCCGUCUGGUGCCAGAUGCGGCGUGGUCCGCGGAACCGGAGCAGGUCUCUGUGUGUUCGUUGGCGUGCGUUGAAUGCGAGAGCAGAGAUGGGAAGGGAUGAGCAAGCCUGCACUUCUCCACGACCUGCGUUAGCGAGCAUCACAACCAGGGGUGGUGCAGAAACAGAGAUAGUUAGCUGAGUUAGAAACAAGAGAUAGUUAACAGGUUAUGGUUGAGGACCGGUGUUAGUCUGUUAGUAUUUGGGAACUAUGAUCCAUGGAUUAUUUUGUUCAUAAAUCGGUUCCAUGUACGAAUGAAAUAUUUAUGAUUUUGAAUUGCUGGAAAGCUUUAUGAAUGUGUAUGUUAUAUAUUUUGAGCAGUGAACAUACUGUACUUAUAUAGAAAUAAUAGUUUUCAGUUUUCUCUGUAACAUGCAUGCAUAUUCUGGCAUGUUUUCCAGGUGGCCCAUUGCUUCUGAUGCAUUUUUCUUCAAACUGUAGAUCGAUACUGAUUUGUUUAACCUGGUAUUCAUUUGAAUGCAGCAACAGUGGCAUAAUAGCCAUGCGUUGUUUUGUGCCUGAUGUCCUCGCUCUAUCCCUGCAAUCAGUGCUGGCGGUCCAUCCGGCCACCUCCUCCGAAUAACAUGAAGUGCGGGUGUGAUUCCAUGUUCUUCUUCUGUACAUUUUCAGUAGGCAACAAAAGACGGCAAUGGCAAGAGCAUAUUGUGCAGAGAAAGAGGAUGAGAAGAAACUUGGGGUUCUCAUCCAAUCUUUGUGGAACUCUCUUUAUGUGCGAUUGUGCACUUGUUGGGUCCUUUUUCUGUGUACUUGUACUUAUAGUAGUAUUCUAUUGUGCACAUGUAAAAUUAUUUUGAUGUGUCCUUGUUAGGCGUUGAACCUUAAUGCGUGGAGUCGAUGGAUGAUGUAUUGUAUUUAAUGAGAUAUGUUACUGAAAUGAAAUAGACAUUUUAUUUGCAA